AGAGUUUGAUCCUGGCUCAGAGCGAACGCUGGCGGCAGGCUUAACACAUGCAAGUCGAGCGGGUGUAGCAAUACAUCAGCGGCAGACGGGUGAGUAACGCGUGGGAACGUACCUUUUGGUUCGGAACAACACAGGGAAACUUGUGCUAAUACCGGAUAAGCCCUUACGGGGAAAGAUUUAUCGCCGAAAGAUCGGCCCGCGUCUGAUUAGCUAGUUGGUGAGGUAACGGCUCACCAAGGCGACGAUCAGUAGCUGGUCUGAGAGGAUGAUCAGCCACAUUGGGACUGAGACACGGCCCAAACUCCUACGGGAGGCAGCAGUGGGGAAUAUUGGACAAUGGGGGCAACCCUGAUCCAGCCAUGCCGCGUGAGUGAUGAAGGCCCUAGGGUUGUAAAGCUCUUUUGUGCGGGAAGAUAAUGACGGUACCGCAAGAAUAAGCCCCGGCUAACUUCGUGCCAGCAGCCGCGGUAAUACGAAGGGGGCUAGCGUUGCUCGGAAUCACUGGGCGUAAAGGGUGCGUAGGCGGGUUUUUAAGUCAGGGGUGAAAUCCUGGAGCUCAACUCCAGAACUGCCUUUGAUACUGAAGAUCUUGAGUCCGGGAGAGGUGAGUGGAACUGCGAGUGUAGAGGUGAAAUUCGUAGAUAUUCGCAAGAACACCAGUGGCGAAGGCGGCUCACUGGCCCGGUACUGACGCUGAGGCACGAAAGCGUGGGGAGCAAACAGGAUUAGAUACCCUGGUAGUCCACGCCGUAAACG
rnacentral:rRNA from 1 species